UUACGGCCAUGUGACGUUGAAACAACCGUUUCCGUAUGAUGACCAAAGUUAAGCAACGUCGAACCUGAUCAGUACAUAGAUGGGUGACCGCUUGGAAAUACCAGGUGCUGUAAG